CAAGUUUCUCAAGUCAGACACUGUUCAGUCGGGCUAUGGUGCCCAUGCUGGCCACCAGGCGGCUAGCCUGAUUGAUCAGGUCAUCCAUCGAGAGGCCUGAUCUGAGACGAGGCGCAAGGAAGGUGGCAACAAGAGCAGAUGCAACCCUGCCAGAAGACUCCUGUUUAGAUCCAUCAGUGUAUAAGCAUGUUAAAUGUUAUGCAUUCUGACAGAAUUCCGGUAAAAAGGUGAGAGUCAUGCAGUAAUACGUAGAUUAUCAGCCACUCGUGCCUGCUACUGCAUUCUGUGCACAUCAGUUAAGUACCUUGCUCCCCACGCCCUAAACAAGGUUCUGCGAGACUGGUCAUCACCCUCCGCACACACAAGGUGCUGCUAGACUCCUGCUCAUCACCCUUCACAAAGUACUGUGAAACUCCUAUUUAUCACUAUCCACAAGUAAACUGUUGCGAGACUCCUGUCCAUCAGCCUCCACAAACAAUGGUGGGGCGAGACUCCAGUCUAACAGCCUCCACAACACCAGUUUGAAGAUGCCAAAACUCGCCAUUUUACUUAAGAAGAGACCCCGUCCCCACUCCAGCCAGUGGCUGUUCCUUCACAUCUCUAGUCACUGAGUAUCCUAUACAUACUGAGGUGUGUAACUGUGUGUGUGUGUGUUACCAUUUUGUCCUAGGCACAUGUCGAUUAGACACUAGGCCUGUUGUAUGUGUGUGUGUGUUAGUUACCAUUUUGUCCUAGGCACAUGUCGAUUAGA